rnacentral:rRNA from 1 species
CAGCCGCCGCGGGAAUACGUAGGGUGCGAGCGUUAAUCGGAAUUACUGGGCGUAAAGCGUGCGCAGGCGGUUUUGUAAGACAGAGGUGAAAUCCCCGGGCUCAACCUGGGAACUGCCUUUGUGACUGCAAGGCUAGAGUACGGCAGAGGGGGAUGGAAUUCCGCGUGUAGCAGUGAAAUGCGUAGAUAUGCGGAGGAACACCGAUGGCGAAGGCAAUCCCCUGGGCCUGUACUGACGCUCAUGCACGAAAGCGUGGGGAGCAAACAGGAUUAGAUACCCGAGUAGUCCCUGUCUCUUAUAC